GUAAGGUCAAGUCCUAGGGUUGUGUCUGGAGUCCAGAGGAGGCCUAAAGUCUACCACACAGCCACAGAUCCACGAGUCCACUACCGCCAGGUCCAAGUCAAAACCUGGAGAUCCAAAUUAUGCAGGUGACAUUUUUGGAGACAGACGAAGGAAAAAUAAAUCUCCGUUCAACAGAUUCGAAACUUGUUCAAGUCAAAGUACAAAAGAUAUAUUUAUGCAAAGACUGAAAUAGAAAAAGGGGAAGGGUGCCCUUUGGUACGUCACAUUGUUCUACUUACCAGUCCAUACCAUCAAGAGGGCCCGGUGGUCAUUUGCCCCUCAUCUCAUAGAAGAGUAUGAUGACUGAAAUACCAUUUGACUCGUGGGUUUACAGUUUUGACUCGGAUGGGACUCUGUGAUCCCCCAAAAUAUGUAUAUGGAUUCUAGAUUUGUCCACAUAAAAAUAUAUUACAUAAAGUCAAGAAAUCCUUGUGGGUGGGGAC